UAGCAAGCCUCCUGUGCACUUGGGUCUGCACGGGCUUUGUGCAUUCCUAAAGUGCAUUCCAGAGCAGCUCUUGAGAUAGCUUGAGGCCUAUCCCUGCCCUUUCUAGAGCAAGGUUAUAGAAAUUUCAGACAAUG